rnacentral:misc_RNA from 1 species
GUGGGAGUUGCCUGUCAGCAGUAUUUGUCCAACACUUCAGUUGAGCAAUUAUUUUUUGUCCUAGAUUUUUACACAUAUUUUGGGAGAGUAAGCGAAAAGAUAGCAGUUGCUGGGAGGUUCAAUUCGCAGGCGGAAGUAAGUCAUAAAACUUUAGGUCGAUCAUUAAGCAAAAAGGUUCCCGGAGAUGCUGCUGUAUGUUUAUCAGUAAAUGAUCUGCACCUAAGAUUUUUGGAAUCUUCUGCUGCUGACAUUUCAGGAAUGCCGUUGGUCCAAUUUAUAGGCAAAGGCCUGUUCAUCAAAGUUACUCAUAGAACCUUGGGGGGUGCUAUAGCCAUUUCGUCCAGUUUGCUUUGGGAAGGUGUUGAAGUUGAUUGUGCAGACACUCUGAGUAGCUUGCCACGUGAGGACAGCUCGGUGUGGACUUCAAACCAAAAUGGCCAUUUUGUGGAGAAUGGAACUCAACUUAGAUCUGUCUUUUGGGUGCAAAACAGGAAGAUCUAUCGAUCAAAUGGCAGUUUUGUUUCAGUUCCCUUCUUGGACGUAAAAAUGGUACAGGUGAUCCCUUAUAAAAC